CACUCUGGAAAAUGUAUAAGCUGCCGGGAAUACAUAUCAUGGAGCAACAAAGCAGAAUGUGAUCCAUGAACUAAAGCGAGAUGUUAGUCAUAAAAUUAAGGCAUCCAUCUAAAUAAUUUUCAGAACAUUAACUGUUGCAAUGAGUUAUGCUUAUGUUCUUUUAUGUGGAACAGGAUAUAAUCUGAUGCUAGUUCAAUAUCAUAAAGAGUUAAGGCCAAACUAAUAUAGGUUGAGAAUUUUCCAAUUACAUGAUGAAUGAAAUUAUGAAAUGAAAUCAUUAAUUUGGCGAUCAAGGUUAGGAUGAAGCAGGUGCAAGUUGGGGGUAAAAUACACAUGUAAAAAUUGAAGAGUGGGACAAAAGUUGUGUUUUUCAAUAUAUCAAACACGUGCAAGGCAUGAAUAUUGAUUAUGCUAACUAGGUUUCAGGAAUAUUAAUAAGAUUGUUAUUAACAAACGCAAAUUCAGAAUUUUAUGGUGAAAAUAGUAGAUACAACAACUGCAAAAAUAAAUACAAUAAUCAGAGAGACAGAGAGGAACUUACACGAAGAGAAUGGCGCAGUAGCGGGCUCGGC